rnacentral:rRNA from 1 species
GACGAACGCUGGCGGCGUGCCUAAUACAUGCAAGUAGAAUGCUGAAGAGAGGAGCUUCCUCUUCUUGGAUGAGUUGCGAACGGGUGAGUAACGCGUAGGUAACCUGCCUUGUAGCGGGGGAUAACUAUUGGAAACGAUAGCUAAUACCGCAUAACAAUGGAUGACACAUGUCAUUUAUUUGAAAGGGGCAAUUGCUCCACUACAAGAUGGACCUGCGUUGUAUUAGCUAGUAGGUGAGGUAAUGGCUCACCUAGGCGACGAUACAUAGCCGACCUGAGAGGGUGAUCGGCCACACUGGGACUGAGACACGGCCCAGACUCCUACGGGAGGCAGCAGUAGGGAAUCUUCGGCAAUGGGGGCAACCCUGACCGAGCAACGCCGCGUGAGUGAAGAAGGUUUUCGGAUCGUAAAGCUCUGUUGUGAGUCAAGAACGGGUGUGAGAGUGGAAAGUUCACACUGUGACGGUAGCUUACCAGAAAGGGACGGCUAACUACGUG